UACGGGGGGGGCAAGCGUUGUUCGGAAUUACUGGGCGUAAAGCGUGCGCAGGCGGUGAUGUAAGACAGAUGUGAAAUCCCGAGGCUCAACCUCGGGUCUGCAGUCGAUACGGGCGGACUGGAGUUCGGCAGGGGAGACUGGAAUUCCUGGUGUAGCGGUGAAAUGCGCAGAUAUCAGGAGGAACACCGGUGGCGAAGGCGGAUCUCUGGGCCUUACCUGACGCUCAGGUGCGAAAGCUAGGGGAGCGAACAGG
rnacentral:rRNA from 1 species